rnacentral:rRNA from 1 species
UACGUAGGGUGCGAGCGUUGUCCGGAAUUAUUGGGCGUAAAGAGCUCGUAGGCGGCUUGUCGCGUCGGUUGUGAAAGCCCGGGGCUUAACCCCGGGUCUGCAGUCGAUACGGGCAGGCUAGAGUUCGGUAGGGGAGAUCGGAAUUCCUGGUGUAGCGGUGAAAUGCGCAGAUAUCAGGAGGAACACCGGUGGCGAAGGCGGAUCUCUGGGCCGAUACUGACGCUGAGGAGCGAAAGCGUGGGGAGCGAACAGG